UGUAAUUAUAGAGGAAUGACUAUUGAAGUAGGGGCAAAGUUUUCCUCAUUUGAAAGCUUACAAGACAAAUUACGGAAGAAGAGAAUUUUGUGCAUUUUGAUGUGCAAGAUUCUGCUAAAUUGACGAGUGAUGUUCAUAUUCGACACGUUAAAAACAUGGAAAUGUCGAAUUGGUGUAUUACAAAUUAAAAUACACCAAUGUUUUUGGCGGACGAGAGUGCCAAAAAAAAGGAAAGAAAACAAAAAUGAAAGGAAAUCUAUAAGUGAGUAUAAGUUUUGUGUGUUGACCAGUACACCGAACUUACAUAUAAGAAAUAUAAUCUAAUUUUCUUACAACUUGCUUCCUCUUUAAAAAAUAAUACUACGUUGCAUGUAUUAGCUGUUUUAUAAGGUUAUAAAUAAAUACACUGCUCAAAAUGUGUCGCAAUUCAUUAAUGACUCUUAAGUUUGCCGAUGAUUGGUUUUAUGAACGUAUUUAGUCACCAAAGAAGAUAUCUAUUGUUUUUGAGACCUCGAUUUGGUGUAUUUUUAAUCAACAUUAAUGUAGCUUUCUGUUUGAUAAUACAUUUAUUGCAUUGACUGACAUUUUUUAUACUAAGAACUCCUACAGCUCAACAGGCAAUUAAAAUAGCAAUAGGUAAUUAUUUUAUACUUAAUGCCAAAUUGCUUCGUGUAAUAUCUUUUCAAUAGUGUUUUACAGCUCUUUUACUGUGUGUUAUUCUUGUUGCACUGUAAUGUUUGUAUUAUAUUCCUGGCUUCUUUUUUCUUUUCAUGGCAAUGCAUUACUGGGCCAGUUUUUGUGAGGCUACUUUUAUCUAAAUAUGGACAGCAUCUUGUCGAGUAGAUGUAAAUAACAGCUAAAUCGUUAGUGAUUUUGACCUGGAGUUUAUGGCGACUAUGACGUUAGGCGACUGCAAUGGUUUGACGCGCAUGAACGAACGAAAAGUACCCAAGGAUAAUUUAUUUAGCCUGAACCUGAAGAGUAACAACUGAAUCAACAGAAGUAUGGAUCUGUAUGAUGUUUCAAGGGUUUUCAUCUGUAAGAGAUUUCAUGGGGUCCCUAACUCUUGAGAAGGCUGUGGUUGCUUCCCGUAACUCAAAGGUUAUAGCCGGUUUUUUCAGGACUUUGAGUACAGUGAUUGAGAGUUAACUGUACUAUGUAGUAUUUUGUCUACACAUCUGAGGAGCAAAAGCUAACUGUGUUAGCUUUUGCUAACUGAGCUGUUAGCGAAAGAUAACAAACAGCUCAGGCUCAUUGAUCUCUUGAAUUUACAGUGAUUGGCAUAGCUAACCUUAAUUAAUUUUUACUGUGUAUUUGUUAAGUAAUUUUUAUACCUUCUGACACCUCUUUACACACCCCUGAUGAAAAAGUGUUACGCAAUUUUACUCCAUAUAGAGAUGUUUGGAGCUUCUUUAGAUCACCUGUUUCUUUCAUGUCUUAAUAUCUCUUACCCCAUCUUUGUUAAUAGCACCCAUAAUUUUUGUAAAAUAGUUUAAAUGAAAAUUCAGAAAGUAAAUUUUUAAGCUCAAUGGAAGACUAAGUAGGAGCAUAUUCUUGAAGAUUUAAAUCUUGGAUCCUCCUUUUUCUAGAUAUUUGCCUAGAAGCUUGUUAAGACAUCUUUAAAGACAUCCUACGUAGAACAUUGAAGGAACAGUGUGAAGCAGGAUAAUGGUAGAACUAACGAGACAUUGGGGCAAAAUAUUGAAAUUAUUCUGUGUAAUUUGUCUGCUUGUCAUCAAAAAAGGGUGGAAGUAUCUGAAGACAUAACAUGCCUCAUAACAAUUCAUUUAAGAGGAAUUGGUUAAUUUUUAAAAGGUUUUUACCAUAUUGUUUGGAGGCUUGCUCCAUUUCCCUUGAUCAAAUCCAAUUUGUUAAACAGAUAUAUUUCUGUUUCAUUCAUGAAGAAAUAAAGAUUUGAUCAUUUGAAUUGGUACCUACUAUGCGUAUAUUUUUGGAAGCUAUAAAUAAAGUUCUUGU